UGAAGGGAUAGCUCCCGUAUUUAAAGCAUUGUUAGAGAAAGGCAUAAUUGCUCCAUGUCCAAACAGUCCCUGUCGCACUCCUAUUUUCCCAGUAAAGAAAGCCAAAGUGGUUGGACAACCUGUGGCUUGGCGAUUUGUACAAGAUCUUAAAAAAGGCCCGCUGCACGACAUCAAGCCGACAUCAAGCACGACAUCAAGGACUGCAAGAGAAAGCACUGGAGCAAGCCACGCUGGUUGGGUCCAUACCAAGUUCAACUGGUCACUCUGCUGUCAAAGUUGCUGAACGAGGAACCUGGGUCCACGCCACACACUGUAAGAAGGCUCCAGCGUUAGAAGAUAUGGCGAAAGAAUAGGUAAAUGGAAAUUACCUAAGGGCGGCGUGGCUUGUGGUGCUAGUAACCAUCAACUCCAACACAGCCUGCAACCCUGGAGCCAGAGAGACAAGGACCAUGGAACCCCUUCAGGAGGUCUGGAGGAAUGAGAUGCACCAUCGGGUACCUGCUGAUUUUAAGUAUUGUCGUUGUCAUACCAAUGGUGUAGUUUUUCAAACCACACUAUGAUGAUCAUGGACAGAUUGUAAAUAUGACAUCUAAUGAAGCAAGGAAAGAGACAAUUGUACACCAUGAGAAAAGGUCCGAACGACAGAUAGGGCCUGAUUUUGAACAGACUCGGUUAAUCUCUUGUGAAAUGAUGAACUGCCCCCCGGAUGGGGAUUGCUAUGUACUGACAAGCCCAGUGUUGAAGGAUAAUAAGUGGUAUUGGACUCUAUUUCCCUCCUCGUACUUUUCUCCCAACCAUGGGAUCAGGUGGAGAUGUUAUGAUAAUGAUUAUUGCACUGUUACCAUUUCCAAACCUCUAGGAGUAAUCCAGGAUUACUGGUGCUUCAGUACUGACGAAGACAACACACCUUGCAGAUCACCUGACUUCCCUAAAGGUAGACCCGCUAUGAUAUGUUCCUUAACAGUUGCACAUACUGCUGUAGUUCCUACUCCUGCACCACGUCGUUCUGAACCAGGUAGAGUAAGGAGAGCACUGUUAGAGCCAGACAACGUAACCCUUAGGAUAAUGGUUGACUUUGCAAAACACAAGAACAUGACUAAUUGUUGGAUUUGCCAACACAUACCAACAUCUUCACGUUCCCCCAUGUUAACCUCUAUCCCAUUUUCAGUAGCAGACUGGCAGGCAUAUGGUUGGACCAAGGUGGCAGCACAAAUGACACUGCCAGGUUAACCUACACAGAGCGAGUAGGAGAACGUGGCUUCAUUGUAAGGAUACAGAGGAUCCUGGUGCAGACAGACUGUCGCACUGAGGAGGAUGAAGUCAGAUCAGGUGCUUCAGGAGCCACACAGAGUUUAGGACAAAGUGAUUGCUCCACCACAACUCAAACCGAUUUCGAGGCUCUAGGGGCUUUGCCGUUGCAGGUCUAUAUAGUCUGUGGUGGGGAAGCAUACAGUUGCAUUCCUAGAGAUGCAGGUGGAGUAUGCUACAUGGCGUACUUGGUCCUUUGAUUAGGCGAGCCGAACACAGGGAAAUGGCAGCCUUAUAUCAGUCCCAAUUUCGCCACAAGCGAACACUUACUAGAACUCAACGUAUAUUUAGUGUUCUGAUCCCAGGAUAUGGCACAUACACCUCACAGGAAGAGAUAAUGGCACUGUCCGCAGUGUUGGAAAAACACAUGAAUUUGACAACUGACACAAUUGCAGCAAUAGGUACGGAGCUGAGUGAAACCCUUUCAGUUGCUCUGCAGAAUAGGAUGGCCCUAGACAUGAUUUUGGCUUCCCAGGGCGGUGUCUGUAAGGUGGUGGGAUCCGAGUGUUAUACAUACAUUUCAGAUGCAUCACAAAAGGUAAUUAAUUUAGUCCAAGAAACUAAUAAAGGAAUAGAGGAACUUAAUACAGUUCAUGGGUGGGACCCAUUCUCAGGGUUAUCCUCUAUGGUUGGUCCCUGGGGGAUGACAAUAUACAAGAUAUUGACUACUGCCUUAGCCGCUAUUGCCUUUUUGUUUGUUUGUGGUAUAUUUUUGUCUUGUUUAAUAAAAAUGUGUGUUUCUAAGUUUGCAACACAGGUAAUGGUCCAGAAGUAUGCAAAUGAGGAUUCCGAUGUUUCAGAGAUGUUCCAGUUCCCAAAUUACUGGGAUGAUGAUAUCAAAAAAAGUUCAUGUUGUUCAAGAGCAUUGUUUGUAGUAGUCUGAAGCUUAAUGAAUUGAUGUUAAAUGAUCUGAUUGGUUAAACGUUGCAUGUUAGUAUUACAUGACAUUUCAUGAUAUAGGGCGGAUUGUCAGGGAAAUGUAUUUUAUUGAUGUAUUCCUACUGAUUAAAGGACUGAGUCCCCAUGUUUUGAUAAGUAAAGGACUGUAGUUAGAGGGGGAUCUGGUGUUGCCUAGGAGGCAUCCUUGACCAGCAUCCUUGACCGGCACCAGCGGAUUAGAUGGUUACUCGUAAAUCAGUAGAUCUGUAUGACCCUUUUAGGGUCUAUCUGUUGGGUGUCCAGACACUGGGACUCCUAAAAGGUUGAAAAGGUUAACCAUGUGAAUGUGUUUUAUUGACACACAUCUUACCACACCCCUUUUUCCUCCUUUAAAUAAGGAUGAUUGUCCUGUGUUACUUUAGAGAUUAUUCAUUGUUACUUUGUAACCUGUGUAUUCUCUCCUUGCAAGAAUAAACUGUUUAUUGUGC
ensembl:lncRNA